UAGUGUUUCUGGGAUAUUUGCUGUGUUUGUACAAAGUCGUCCCCCGGCUUGUUUGCACAGGGAUCCCGCUCCUGUUAUCUUUCCCUGCAGCUAUUGAAGAGGUGAGAAAACAUGGUGUCUCUCUUUUCAGCUACCCUCACCUCUUCCUCCUCCUCCGCCUCUCUUUCUUUGACCCUUAUUAGCGACGGUGAGGGCUGAUGGCAGGCGAUUCAUCCAGCCGUGAGGAGCGAGCACACCUGCAAAGAGGUCCUCGGAGUGAUUGAAAAGAAGGGCUGGCAUUACCAUUCCUCCACUCCCUGCAAAGCCAUGCUAGCAGCCACCACCUCUGCUGUUUGUUUACUGCAUCAACUGGAACUCCUCUCUGAGUUGCUGUGGUGCAAUCAACGCCAUGAUGAGUUUUGUGUAGCAUCAAUGCAGUCUUCCCAUUUGGACCCACAGUGGCUGGGAUCGCCAAGCUGACGUCCGGUCAUCACCAGCAACCUGCAGCUCAUCCCCUCCUUCGUACUCCUGGAGAAUCGUAUCGAAGCUGACUGUGACUCCUGGCUGCAUGGACUAACGUACAAACACACAAAAGCAAGCGUGAUUUUAAAAGGCAUCCAUUACCUCCGAGUGCUGCAAACCUCUGGUGAGCUGCCAUGCACAGACGCACACAAAGGCAGACACAGCCUGCAUCGUGACUUAUAUGGGAAAGACAAAGUUUGUUGAUAAAUCACUGCCAGCUAUUCAGCAGAAACGCAGAGAGGGACACACAGGAGCAGCCACAGGGAAGGUAUUUUUUGUCUGGCAGAGGCUCAGAGUGUUUGACGCACAAUAAAGUUGUUUAACUACAUUGAUCUGUCGCAGGUGCUUUUAAAAAACUGUGAGAGACAGAGAAAGUGAUAACAAAAGAAAGGCAUGUUUAUUCAUCAUUUCCUUCUGAUUUAAUACUUUAGUAAAGCUUGUAAAGUCCAUUGGCAGCUCCGAAACUCUUCUGCCUUUGAGGCCAGCUCCAGCUCAAGCGGAUGACGACAGGCCUGUGCCACAGUAACAGCGGGGGGCGCUGUGAUCUGCCCAGCAGGCUGCUGUAUGGAGGCGUAACUCCAUCCAGCCAUUAAUCAUCCGCAUGGUGAGUCUUAAGGACCUGCGCUGAGCUCGCUGCGCUCACGCUCGUGCUAGGUGGUCCUGUCGGCGAGCAGAGCCACCGCUGCCAGAGAGGUUUUGCCAGGACUUUCACCUUGAGUCAAACGCUCAGCUGCUUCAUGUGCAAAAGGCCUCCUUUGUUAUGUUUCUUUCUCUCACAUUUUAGCACAGCGUUUAUUUUGAUGUUAUUGUAGUGGGCGCUGUAGACACUUUGCCUGAAACAAUGUGAGAGAAAAAAUGUGGGGAAAGGUUUGGAAUAUAUUUAUUUUGGGCAAACCAGAGAAAGUUGAAGUCUUUGCUUUUACUGCUCAACCAAUCUUUAUUUCUUUUCAUUUUUGGUCAUUUUGCUUUCAUUGUUCACAGCUGCAAACACUAAUCCUGGCAACCCAAUGGCUCUAGAGUAUAUAUAUAUAUCAGAACAUCUAAUGCUCAUUUCUGUACUAAAAGAAAGUACAUAGUAAAACUUUUAUGAAUAAAAAUGUGCAAUUGUGAAAAGGGUCCCUAAGAAAUAAAGUUUAUUAAUGCAUUACAUGGCAGAAGCAGAUGCUGAAGUCAUUUUAUUGUUCCUCUGUCACAUUUUAUAGAUUUCAAGACUUCAUUUUAGUUUCUUAAUCUUUUUUUCUGUUUUGCUUUUAGAACUAUUUUACAAAAUGUUAAAUGUAUAAAAUCUGGCACUAGGUUUGUCCAAAAAACAUGUCUCCUCAAAAACAUUUUUCAAAUAUUUAUUUAUUUAUUUUUGCACACCAAAAAUGAUGGUCCAGUCCAUUUCCCAUCAAUUGAAAACAGUCACAAAAAAAUUGCCAGAAAAUAAAAACAAAAGUUGCGGCGAGACUAUUUGUGGUUAUGAAGCUAGUGAAAAGUCUUUAAAUUGUUAGAGUCAAAACUCAAUUGAAAGCUGAUUAAAACUGUCAUCGUGUGGUGAGACUAACAAAGACUCGAGGUUCUAACAAGGAACCGGAAUAAGCUGAGCAAGGAAAACAAAAUAGUCUCUCGGGUUCUGCUACAUUUGAGCUGGAUGAGGAGCUGCGGCUAAAUAAACAGCUGACAGACCUAGUGUCCAUGAUGAAUCACAGAAAAUAUUUGAAGUUUCCCAGCAGUCCUUGUGGGAAGAGAGCUAGUCGUCUGCAGAGUACAGUGGUGGGUUUUGCAGUUUGGGGGCCCAAAGAGGGAAAAGGCAAAAAAAAAAAAAA